rnacentral:rRNA from 1 species
AGUGAACGCUGGCGGUAGGCCUAACACAUGCAAGUCGAACGGCGGCACAGUAAGAGCUUGCUCUUACGGGUGGCGAGUGGCGGACGGGUGAGGAAUACAUCGGAAUCUACUUUUUCGUGGGGGAUAACGUAGGGAAACUUACGCUAAUACCGCAUACGACCUACGGGUGAAAGCAGGGGAUCUUCGGACCUUGCGCGAUUGAAUGAGCCGAUGUCGGAUUAGCUAGUUGGCGGGGUAAAGGCCCACCAAGGCGACGAUCCGUAGCUGGUCUGAGAGGAUGUUCAGCCACACUGGAACUGAGACACGGUCCAGACUCCUACGGGAGGCAGCAGUGGGGAAUAUUGGACAAUGGGCGCAAGCCUGAUCCAGCCAUACCGCGUGGGUGAAGAAGGCCUUCGGGUUGUAAAGCCCUUUUGUUGGGAAAGAAAAGCAGCAGGUUAAUACCCCGCUGUUCUGACGGUACCCAAAGAAUAAGCACCGGCUAACUUCGUG